UCCUCAGCGCGUGCCGCAGGACGAUGUCGCGGAAGCGCACGCCCUUGAGCCGGGCGGUGCGGAUGUACUGGGCCGUCAUGACCUCGGCCAUCGACGCGCGGGUCAUCCGGGCGAUGUAGCCCAUGCCGUAGAGCGCGAUCGUCAUCACCGGCAGGGUGAAGUUGACGAAGGUGAUGU
rnacentral:ncRNA from 1 species